rnacentral:rRNA from 1 species
UACGUAGGAGGCAAGCGUUGUCCGGAAUCGUUGGGCGUAAAGCGCGUGUAGGCGGCCCGAUAAGUCCGCUGUGAAAGUCCAGGGCUCAACCCUGGAAUGCCGGUGGAUACUGUCGGGCUCGAGUCCGGAAGAGGCGAGUGGAAUUCCUGGUGUAGCGGUGAAAUGCGCAGAUAUCAGGAGGAACACCGAUGGCGAAGGCAGCUCGCUGGGACGGUACUGACGCUGAGACGCGAAAGCGUGGGGAGCAAACAGG